GGACCUCUCGGGGUUACAGCCUUGCUGAAUUAUUCACCCUUGUCUUUUGCGUACUUCUUGUUUCCUUGGUGGGUUCGCCCACCACUAGGACAAACAUAAACCUUUUGUAAUUGCAAUCAGCGUCAGUAACAAAUUAAUAAUUACAACUUUCAACAACGGAUCUCUUGGUUCUGGCAUCGAUGAAGAACGCAGCGAAAUGCGAUAAGUAGUGUGAAUUGCAGAAUUCAGUGAAUCAUCGAAUCUUUGAACGCACAUUGCGCCCUUUGGUAUUCCAAAGGGCAUGCCUGUUCGAGCGUCAUUUGUACCCUCAAGCUUUGCUUGGUGUUGGGCGUCUUGUCUCUAGCUUUGCUGGAGACUCGCCUUAAAGUAAUUGGCAGCCGGCCUACUGGUUUCGGAGCGCAGCACAAGUCGCACUCUCUAUCAGCAAAGGUCUAGCAUCCAUUAAGCCUUUUUUUCAACUUUUGACCUCGGAUCAGGUAGGGAUACCCGCUGAACUUAAGCAUAUCAAUAAGCGGAGGAA
rnacentral:rRNA from 2 species